rnacentral:lncRNA from 1 species
AAAAUUAUGACACUGAUGGAUUUCCAUAGAGUUACGAUUGAUUGGAUCAAUUGCAACUCCUUGUAAGACAGGCCCCAGGCAUCGUUGCGACAUUACAGGUUCUAACAGGGCCCCUGUUAUUUUACCUGUAACAUCGUUUCAGUGCCGCCGCUACUGGCCAACACUGAACCAACAAUUGAAGGUAGACCUACCAUCAGUACAUACAAGACUGAGUCAAUUCUAGACCAAUAUCAGACCAAUAGGAAAAUCAUAAUUAGACCAGCUUUAUGAAACGGGCCCCAGAAUAAAAAGAAGAAGAUGAUAUUGUUGGUUUGGUCAGGAUUUGGUGAAAAGCUGGUUUGUAUUGUGACUGAGUAUCUUAGAUGAUAAUAAACCACGAUAAUAAGCAUGAUAAUUAUAAACCUUAAAAUAAAGUUUGAUAUCAAUCAUAUCUAAUUGAUACAUAUUUGAAAAAUCUCAAUUGCACAUCAAAAAACCCCAACAAAUUUGAUACUGGAAGCAUGUGCAUGUAUAUGGUACUAAUCUGUGCUUCCUUUUCUAAGGAUAUAUAGCUGUACAGAAAAUCACAUUUAUUUUUUCUUCUCUUCAUAUUACACAUAAAUCAUUUCUUACAUAUAUGUUUUGAUAUUGUCUUUAUGUUUUUUAGUCUGUACAUGUUUGCAUAAUCCAUCCCUGUAAGACGAGUAUGUUGUAAAGAUGUUUUGGAAAAAUGAUGUAAAAGUCAGAGUCUACUUCAAUUUUUGUUUUGUACACUGCUUACGUGUAAAGUUUUCAAGCUUUUUCCCCCUACAAUUUGUGGAAAUAUCAUGUGGAAGUUUACAGAAGCAUUGUAAUAUCUUGAGCAAUUUCAUUGAGUAUGAUAUGUGAUAGUAGCUAGCUUGGAGCUGUAUAUUCACAAUGUUUUAUAUUACUUUGUCGAUGAAAUUUCAGAAGCCCUGUGCCAAAAAUAUUUUGUUGAAAAAACACAUUUUCAUUAUAUUGCUCAGCAAACUAAAAUGUCACAUCAAACUUUUGAUUUAAUUGGGCUAAUUAAAUUCAGCAGCAAUAUUGAUUGUGAUCCACAUAGCAGGAGUGAGGCUAAUUCAUGUGAAAAUACCAACAUAUUUCCUGGCCCUCUUGUUUUCACAAGUUAUGUAUCCACAGCUGUCUCCCUGGGCAUAAUUGCACCUUCAGCGAUUUUUAUUGUCUUUCGGAGUCAUAUACACAACCAGUUCUACAUUUAAUAUCAAUUCAAAGUGUUCUUGUUGAUUGUAUUAUCUUAACAAUCCUUUUGAACUGAAUUCUUCAUUGAACCUAUUGCUUCAACUAACUCUAGACUGAUCAACGUUAGUACAUUGUAUUUGAUGGUCAUAUUAUCGGUCCUUCGUUCAUGUAGUUGGGUUUUAAUUUGUUUGACUGUAGCAGAACAAUGAUAAAAGCUUAUUCACUGCAUCAAGAAAAACAACAAAAAAACAUUUGGAAUUUAUUUCAAUAUAGCCGUUACCUACCAAAUUCCAAAUAGCUUUUUCAUAGUUACCAUCUGGUUCCAUUAGGCAGUGGAAUAACCUGUUCACUACUGAAUACUAUAAUGCCCAUAGACUUUUUACAGUGAUCACCCAGUUCUAGUACGCAGUGGGUUAACCUGUCCACUUCUGAAGACUGUAAUGACCAUAGACUUUGUACAGUGAUCACCUGGUUUUAGUAGGCAUUAGGUUAACCUGUCCACUUCUGAAAUCUCUACUUCAUAUAAGAUUUGAAUUGGGCACAGGAGCCAAUGGAUUCAAGGCCAGCUAAAACUAUUGACAGCAAGUAAAUAAAGUUUUACAAAGCAUCUCUCAAAACAAUUUCUUUUCAUAUGAUUAUGUAUUCAAUUGACUACUUAACCUUUUCUUCAUUCUGAAGUAUUCACAUUUUGUAACUGCCUCAUAUACGGUUGCUUUGGUUUACAAAUUACAUGUAAUGCAACUAACAUGUUCAUUUCUAUUCACAAUUGAACGUCAUUUCAUCAGAAUGCUGUUAUAAUGAUGACAUAAUGAUAUCGAACAGUACAUGUUUUUACUUCGUAAUUUCCAUAUAGUAUUUCAGUGUGUUAUUUAUUAGAAAUUCAUUGUAGUAGCAUGUUUUCUCCCUGCUUCUCAAAGAUAUGGUAUCCCUGAAUACUGACCAAAUGAUUAUCAAAUGAGAAAAGAAAAUUUGUCAGCCUUUGUCUGUACAUGCUUCAGUAUUUCACUGAAAAUAGUCCUAUUUGAAAUAAUAUCAUAACACAAUUUAUUUUCUCUUGCCACGUUUUUUUAUUUAAUUGUCUAUUUCCUGAACGUGGUUAGUUUAUGGCAACGGCUCAUGAAAAGAAUUCAUGCAUACAUACGUGUACAUGUAGAUUUCAUAGUGAAAUGAACACCAUUUCUAUGGUGUCUUAUGUGCUUGCAAUGUUUACAAAUUUCCUAAAGUUUCAGCAAACUUGGCAUUGAAUUACCCGAGCCCUUUGAAAAUCAAUUCCCAAUCCCAUUCAGGAGAAUUUACAUUGAAUUAUGAAGAAAUGAGGUCUAAAUUUAGCCAAGAUUGAAAGUAAUAAAAAAAUUUACAGCCACCACCAAGUAUUUGCUCUUAGCUAUUCAUGCUUACAUUCGAGCCAGUAGAAUGUAUCUUAUAAAAACCUCAAGGGAGUGGUGAAUUUCAUGUAGUAGAAAUGUUGCUGAUUUUCCUGAGAUUUUAGAGUACAUGACAAAAAUUCUUUGAUGUUCAUUUGUGUUCUAGAGAGCAAGGCAUUUUUGUUAGAUUUUAAAAUUUGAUUGUAAGUACUCUGGGGAUUCGCUUAUUUGUUUUAUGUUCAUUGAGCUUGUCUUGCGUGGGGCUUUUGUUCACAUUUUUUCUUUUAAUAUUUCCCAUUUCUGAUGAUCUCCGCUUGAAUGAAUAUAUAUCUAUUCCUUUUCCCCACCCCCUCUCUUGGUCUCUGCUCUCUCCUCCUUUGCACUCUUUCUGUUAUGAACAUUUCACUCUCUCGAUAUUUCCCAUCUUCUCUUCUUAUCUCUUGUCCCCUCUUUACCACCCUCUCUCUCUCCCAAUUCACUCUCUGCUUCUUCUCCUUUCCUCUCUCCAAACCUUUAUCGCUCUUUCACCCAUCUACCCUUCUUAUUCUCUCUUCAUAUUUUUCUAUCUCUUUUCUUUACAACCCCCUUUAUUCCAUCCUCACUCCCCUCAUCAUAAAACUUUUGUAGAAUGAACACAUUUCAAAUUUCUGAAUACAUGUACUCCUCUUUUUUGCUCUCUCCUUCAUGCUAUCUCCCUCUCUCCGUUUCGAACAAUUUCACUCUCCUCUCGAUAUUUCCCCCUCUUUUCUUAAAUCUCUUUUCCACUCCUUACCACUCUCUUUUCCAAUUUACCCAUUCCUCUAAACAUUCAUCCUUCUAUUACUUAUCUUCCUCUUAUUCUCUUCAUCUGUCUCUAUCUUUCUUCUCCACUCUCUCCUUUUAUUUCACCCUCCCUCAGCUCCAUUAUAGCUCACAGAGAAUAAACACAUUUCAAAUUUCGAAUACUCCUCUCACUGGCGUUUCACCAAUUUGACUCAUCCACUAACACAAUUACAUUUAUUUUUAUGUUCACGUGUCAGCCACGCCCCCUUUUUUACAUAAUGUCACAUGUAUUUUGCUCAAGUUCAUUAUGUUUACACUGGCUGGAAAGUAUAUUUAUAUCCCAAUUUUACUUAUAUUUGUUUCUGUUUUUUAUUCAUUGUAUUUUGUUUCUCCACUCAUAUAUACUUUUGUAGGAAACCUUGGUGCUGGAUUGAGUAUGCUAGUUUGAUCUAGUAAUUACCAAUUAUUUUAGUUUGUUCAUGUUUUUUAUUACUUAGACAAUAAUGUCCUCUCAAAGUAAUUACAUGUAUGGUUUCAUUUGUUUAAUCAAAGAAGCUUAGCAACAUAUGUUUUCCCCAUAUCCAUUAUAUUACUCAAAAUAUUUUCAUGUACAGUUUAUGCUGUUUUAUACUAUAUUAUCAAUAAAAUGAUAAGCAUGA